rnacentral:rRNA from 1 species
AGAGUUUGAUCCUGGCUCAGGAUGAACGCUAACUACAGGCUUAACACAUGCAAGUCGAGGGGCAGCAUGGCGUCUAGCAAUAGAUGCUGAUGGCGACCGGCGCACGGGUGAGUAACACGUAUCCAACCUGGCCCAUACUAGGGAAUAGCCUGCCGAAAGGCAGAUUAAUGCCCUAUGUUGUGUAUUGAUGGCAUCAGAUUUACACCAAAGAUUCAUCGGUAUGGGAUGGGGAUGCGUCCGAUUAGCUUGACGGCGGGGUAACGGCCCACCGUGGCUACGAUCGGUAGGGGUUCUGAGAGGAAGGUCCCCCACACUGGAACUGAGACACGGUCCAGACUCCUACGGGAGGCAGCAGUGAGGAAUAUUGGUCAAUGGGCGUAAGCCUGAACCAGCCAAGUAGCGUGAGGGAAGACUGCCCUAUGGGUUGUAAACCUCUUUUAUAAGGGAAUAACUGACGAUACGUGUAUUGUUUUGCAUGUACCUUAUGAAUAAUGACCGGCUAAUUCCGUGCCAGCAGCCGCGGUAAUACGGAAGGUCAGGGCGUUAUCCGGAUUUAUUGGGUUUAAAGGGAGCGUAGGCGGUUGGUUAAGCGUGUUGUGAAAUGUCCCGGCCCAACCGGGGAUGUGCAACGCGAACUGGCUGACUUGAGUGCGUACGAGGUAUGCGGAAUUCGUCGUGUAGCGGUGAAAUGCUUAGAUAUGACGAAGAACUCCGAUUGCGAAGGCAGCAUGCCAGGCCGCUACUGACGCUGAAGCUCGAAGGUGCGGGUAUCGAACAGGAUUAGAUACCCUGGUAGUCCGCACGGUAAACGAAGGGAUGCCCGCUGUUUGCGAUAUACUGUGAGCGGCCAAGCGAAAGCGUUAAGCAUCCCACCUGGGGAGUACGCCGGCAACGGUGAAACUCAAAGGAAUUGACGGGGGCCCGCACAAGCGGAGGAACAUGUGGUUUAAUUCGAUGAUACGCGAGGAACCUUACCCGGGCUUGAAUUGCAGAGGAACAAUCCAGAGAUGGUGCGGCCCUUCGGGGCCUCUGUGAAGGUGCUGCAUGGUUGUCGUCAGCUCGUGCCGUGAGGUGUCGGCUUAAGUGCCAUAACGAGCGCAACCCCUGUUGCCAGUUGCCAUCCUUUAGUUGGGCACUCUGGCGAGACUGCCACCGUAAGGUGUGAGGAAGGUGGGGAUGACGUCAAAUCAGCACGGCCCUUACGUCCGGGGCUACACACGUGUUACAAUGGGUGAUACAGAGAGUCGUGCAUGCGCAAGUAUGUUCCAAUCUUUAAAGUCAUCCUCAGUUCGGACUGGGGUCUGCAACCCGACCCCACGAAGCUGGAUUCGCUAGUAAUCGCGCAUCAGCCAUGGCGCGGUGAAUACGUUCCCGGGCCUUGCACACACCGCCCGUCA